rnacentral:rRNA from 1 species
AUUCUAGAGCUAAUACAUGCGAAAAAACCCGACUUCUCGGAAGGGUUGUAUUUAUUAGAUAAAGAACCAAUAUUUUUGGUGACUCAUAAUAACUUUACGGAUCACAUUAUGUGACAUAUCAUUCAAGUUUCUGACCUAUCAGCUUUAGACGGUAGGGUAUUGGCCUACCGUGGCUAUGACGGGUAACGGGGAAUUAGGGUUCGAUUCCGGAGAGGGAGCCUGAGAAACGGCUACCACAUCUAAGGAAGGCAGCAGGCGCGCAAAUUACCCAAUCCUAAUACAGGGAGGUAGUGACAAGAAAUAACAAUACAGAGCCUUACGGUUUUGUAAUUGGAAUGAGUUAAGUAUAAACCCCUUAACAAGUAUCAAUUGGAGGGCAAGUCUGGUGCCAGCAGCCGCGGUAAUUCCAGCUCCAAUAGCGUAUAUUAAAGUUGUUGCAGUUAAAAAGCUCGUAGUUAAUUUUCUGUUAAUUUUUAUAUACAAUACUACGGUAUUUAUAUAAUAUUAACAUAAUUCAUAUUACUUUUUAGUAUAUGAAACUUUACUUUGAGAAA